rnacentral:lncRNA from 1 species
AGCAUUCGCAGACUGCAGCUCCCAGACACCGCCCGCAUCCCUCCGGCCUCCGAAGCCCCAGCCGCCGCCAGCACCAUGGCCAGCACCGUAUCUGGUAGGGCUCGGGAGCCUAGGGGAUCAUGGGACCGCAGUGGGUCUUACCAGAGGCCAUUGUCUAAGCAGAGGCCUCGCCUGAUGCAGUAGCAAGUUACUGGCUCCGUUUUCCUGUGUCGGACCUUGUGCAAGGCGAGGCUGGGCUGGCCCUGCAAGAAGGGGGGUCCAGAGUUCUUAAGGGGUGGAAGGGGACUCAAGUGCGGAGGAGAUGCUACUGGACGCGGGGUAGGAGCCGCGCCCUAGACAGGGUUGAAUGAAACCGGGCUCCCCGGGGCAUUACCCCUUCAGGCGCUGGGGUGCGGGGCCAAGGUGCAACUGCCGCAGAGCGGCUUUGCGGAUUCUAUGCCUGCGAACAAGAGUGCCUGCAGUUCGGCUAGCAGGUCCCCUAAGGCUCCAGCUACCUUGGGUUUCAGUGUCAUUGAGUCUUCGUAGGGGGCUGAGGGGGAGGUGGAACCCUCCAUAGAAGCCUGGACCUUGGUCCCUGAGAAAUGGGGGAGGGGCGCAGGGACACAGGAGGGGACCUCUCAACCGCGCGGAGAGAGACUGGAGCCUGCGACAAGCGAGGCUUCCUCGCCUCCAUUCCCCACUGUGACCGUUGUACAGGGGGACCACCCUCUGCGAUGCUAGGGCCACCGGCUCCAGCCAGAAGAACCUCCGCCCUUUGCGCCACUGGGUAUAAGUGGAGAGGCUACUGCAUUUCCAAACCUUUCCGGGGUAUGGGUGGGGUCUGCUUUCAUAGGAAGCCUCCCACACCUCAGACUGCAUAGAGGGUCGAACCGAGGCGGAGGAAAGGACACUAGCAGUGUACUAGGUCCCUGCAUGGUUGCGGCGGCUCCACUCUUGACCUGAGAGGCUAAAGCUGGACAGCCCCGCCCAGUCCCUAGUCUCAGCAGGGUUUUUUUUUUUUUUUUUUUUUCUUCUGGGUGCCUGAGACUGCAGGACGCAUGACACCCACCUCCUGACCUUGGUUUCCUCUAAGAGCCUCAUGGUCUUGCUGCCUUACCUUCUCUCAGCCCAGAAGGCUGAUCUCGGUCAAAUAGGUCAAUGCAUGGUUCUCCCUGGCUUUGGCCCCAGGUACAAACUCCACCCAUCACACGGUCCCUCCCUGAAGCCGCCCCUUAAGGCCAGAGAUUUUCAGUACCAGCCAAGGAGGGGCCCACAUGUGUAAAAGACACUUUAAGCACCAGCUCCAAAACCGUGGCUCAAACCUUACCUUUGUACUAUAGCCAGACCUGGCCCCCUUUCCAUCAGCCCUGGGGAAGCGUCUUCCUCUUGCUUAAUGUCUCUCACAUACCAGUUUCUUAUGAGUUAUCCUGUCCUCUCCAAAAUGCUCACCUUCCUGCAGCCAGAUCACAGAUCAGGCCUGUCCCCAGGCCCUGCCAGUGGUCACUUGUCUUAUCUGUUCCCCGGGGAUCUGUCGUCCCAGAAGAAAGCUCCCCAUUGUCUAUCAAAAUAAGCGAAACCAUACCAAGGAAUAUGUCCAUGACCACCAGACACUGCCCCUGACUGCAGCUACAACAUAUGGUACCUCACUUGCCAGUUGAACACUUGGGUUUCCUGCUUUGACAUCAGGAAUCUCUGACCUACCUGGACAGCACCCUGCCCUUCUCUUCAGGUACUCACUCCUGCUGGGCUGGUACUGCUCCCUGAAUUUCUGACAGCAUCCCCCAUGCUGAGGUGAUAGUUACCUGGAAGACAGCCUCCUGGUACUGCUUAUUAAUUGGAUGCUAUCUGCUAUAAACCUGCAGUACUUUCCUGGUGAAUGUUUCACCAUCAAGCCAAAAUGGCCUUUGAGCAACUGUCAGAUUCAAGGUUCCUGAUCUGACCUAUGAGGACAGCCUAUCAGGGGUUUCCAUACAAGAUGAGAAAUAAUAAUAUGGAAAGCUAGGACCAGCAGGGAAGUAUGUGCUAGCUAGCUCAGACUUGACUUCUGGCCUCUUUCAGGAUUCUGGUCUAUCCUACCCUAGACCCUGUGCUACUCCUUGUAUCCUGUCUUCUCAGCACAGACUGACCUCCUCUAGAUAUCCACUGGCUUGUUACUGCUGAUCUCUCAGAUCCUCUAGCUCCUCAUCACAUGAUCUGAAAUAUGUCCCUCUACCUCCUUUGUUGGAUUAACCUUUUAUAGUACAAAUGCAUGAGUGGAUGUUGUUUAUGAAAAGAGAAAACUUGGCUAGGCAUGAUACACUCAGGAGGUGGAGGCAGGAUGAUCAGUUCAAAGCCAGGCUUUGCUACAUAGUGAGUUCAAGGUCAGCCUAAGCUACAUUAUACCCUGCCUUUAUAAAGAAAAAAAGAAUAACAAC